GUCGUCUUGCCCGAGUGGUCAAGGGGAUAGAUUAGAAACCUAUUGUGAUUUCACGCGCAGGUUCGAGUCCUGCAGACGACG
rfam:Ectocarpus siliculosus strain Ec 32, whole genome shotgun sequence assembly, unassigned sequences LGTn